UACGUAGGUGGCUAGCGUUGUCCGGAUUUACUGGGCGUAAAGGGUGCGCAGGCCGCGCGGGCAGUCAAAUGUGUAAUCCAGGGGCUCAACCCCUGAACUGCGCUUGAUACUUCCGCGCUCGAGCUUUGGAGAGGAGUCUGGAAUUCUCGGUGUAGCAGUGAAAUGCGUGGAUAUCGAGAAGAACACUUAGGGCGUAGGCAAGACUCUGGACAAAUGCUGACGCUCAUGCACGAAGGCUAGGGUAGCGAACGGG
rnacentral:rRNA from 1 species